rnacentral:lncRNA from 1 species
UCCCCUCCCUUCAGGUUUUUAUAGCAGUGCACACUUCUUUUAGGAAAUUGGAAAAUGACAACAUUGUGACAAGAAGACAAAAGUUUCCGUGAAUUCUUUUCCUGCGUGUGUGGGUUUCCUCCCAGAUGAUAGACACUGCCAAUAAUAGUGGUGAUAAUAAUAAUAUCAAGUAAAUGGGAUAUGUCAGGCACGAUGCUAAACACUUUACACUUGGCAAGAAACUGAAAAGCAGGUAAUGUCACUGCUGUUUUACAGAUGCAGAAAUGGAGACCAUAUAUCGCCUGAUCACAUAGCUAGAGGCUGAAGAGGAGGCUUUGAACCCAGGUUUUCUGAAUCCAAAUUUUGCAGCGUUUAACCCAAGCUAUGUUACUCCUGAGAUCUUGUGGGCAUCACACAUCAGAACCCAAUUUUGUUUGAAGCUGCAGAUGCCCCUUUAAAAUGUACUACCCUAGGUUCCUUUGUUGCUAGGGGUG